rnacentral:rRNA from 1 species
UACGUAGGGUGCAAGCGUUGUCCGGAAUUAUUGGGCGUAAAGAGCUCGUAGGCGGUCUGUCACGUCGGCUGUGAAAACCCGGGGCUCAACCCCGGGCCUGCAGUCGAUACGGGCAGACUAGAGUGCGGUAGGGGAGACUGGAAUUCCUGGUGUAGCGGUGAAAUGCGCAGAUAUCAGGAGGAACACCAACGGCGAAGGCAGCUCGCUGGGACGGUACUGACGCUGAGGCGCGAAAGCGUGGGGGAGCGAACAGG